rnacentral:rRNA from 1 species
AGCGAACGCUGGCGGCAGGCCUAACACAUGCAAGUCGAGCGCCGUAGCAAUACGGAGCGGCAGACGGGAUAGUAACACGUGGGAACGUGCCCUUUGGUUCGGAAUAACUCAGGGAAACUUGAGCUAAUACCGGAUAAGCCCUUACGGGGAAAGAUUUAUUGCCAUUGGAGCGGCCCGCGUCGGAUUAGCUAGUUGGUGAGGUAAUGGCUCACCAAGGCGACGAUCCGUAGCUGGUCUGAGAGGAUGACCAGCAUCACUGGGACUGAGACACGGCCCAGACUCCUACGGGAGGCAGCAGUGGGGAAUAUUGGACAAUGGGCGCAAGCCUGAUCCAGCCAUGCCGCGUGGAUGAUGAAGGCCCUAGGGUUGUAAAGUCCUUUUAACGGGGAAGAUAAUGACGGUACCCGUAGAAUAAGCCCCGGCUAACUUCGUGCCAGCCGCCGCCGUAA